CCUACCCUCUCUUCUUUCAAGGACACGAAAAAAUUGAGUUUAGAAUACACACUUACACUUAAAAAUCUCUCUUUCUUUAUUGUUACUUGUGCUACUGCUUUGUCUAGCUGGCUUAAAGCCGAGGCUAGACUGUGGACUCUUGUUUGCUUUACCUUUCUACACUUUGCUUCUCUACUGUUAUGACCUAGUUUAGUUUUAAGUCUCAACCACAACAUGUUUCUUUAAGUUGCUUCAGUUUCUCAUUCUAGUUCACUUUUGCUCAUGUUCUUGCAGUCCAUUUAUGUUACUAGCAUGCUGAAAUACGUUCCCUUCCCCUUUUAAAUUAAUACUUCCCCUAUAUAUGUACUCUGUCAUUCAUUUGUUAUUCACCUGCCACUUUAUGAAUCCAAACCCCUAUGUCCCAUCUAUGUGUUUGUGUUCCUAUGGUUGGUUUGUGGGCAGGCCAGCAUCAUCUAUUGCUGUGCAUGACGAAACCUGCCUCUUUCUGGGGUCAUAUGCGUCAUACAAUGUAUUGCCAUUACCCCUUAACCCCCUUUUAUAACUACUGAUUCUUUGUAUUUUGAGCUUUAGUACUUCCAUUUUCAAAAUCACUUUUACCACUUAUUAUUUCCAACCCAAUUUUAGUCAAUCUCUAUUCUGCACUUCCACGAUAUUCUUAGAACCUAGGUUCUGCCCCUCUUGUGUGAGCCUUGUCUUGGGACCCUUUUGAGCUCCCUCUGAACUUGGACACAUAAGGGCUGGUCUUUCCAUACUACACUCAUGUCUGUCUGGUUAUGCAAACUAGAGUGUAAGCACUGUCCGGGAUUCCCCUAAGAUCCUUAGGGAACUUUGACACACUCAAGUAUGAGAAAGGCUUUGGAACAAGAUUGGCAAUGAUACGGUUCAUUGCAUAUCUCAUAUAGGAAGUCAAAUCAGGCUUCCUAUGGUUGUAGCUUUUUUUUCUUUCAUUUCUUCUUUUGUAAUUCAGUAUUUGGUCGUUAAUAAUUUGUAACGAAUAUUGGGGUUGGCUAGUGAAAGGGAUAUGGGUAAUUAUGCAUGUUUUAUGAUAUUAGAAAAGGUAGAUGACAUGCCUAUAGGAUCUGUUUAAUAAAUUUUAUAUGUUUUACUUCCACACUUAAACAUCAUGCCUAUAAGAUCUGUUUAAUAAAUUUAGAAUCUUUUACUUCCACACUUAGACAUCAUGCCUAUAGAAAAUGUUUAAUAAAUUCAGAAUGAUUUAAUUCCACACUUAGAUAUCAUGGAUAGGAUCUAAUGGCUAUAAUCAGACAUCAUGCCCACAAGGUUAAAAUUUGUUUCGAAAUUAGAUGUCAU
rnacentral:lncRNA from 1 species